UAGGGAAUCUUGGUCAAUAGGCGAAAGCCUGAACCAGCCAUGCCGCGUGCAGGAUGAAGGCCCUACGGGUCGUAAACUGCUUUUAUUCGGGAAGAAAAAGUCUGUGUCCACAGACCUUGACGGUACCGAAUGAAUAAGGACCGGCCAACUCCGUGCCAGCAGCCGCGGUAAUACGGAGGGUCCAAGCGUUAUCCGGAUUCACUGGGUUUAAAGGGUGCGCAGGCGGUCAAGUAAGUCAGUGGUGAAAGCCUUCGGCUCAACCGGAGAAUUGCCAUUGAAACUACUUGACUUGAGUGUAGUUGAGGUGGGCGGAAUGUAGCAUGUAGCGGUGAAAUGCAUAGAUAUGCUACAGAACACCGAUAGCGAAAGCAGCUCACCAGACUACGACUGACGCUGAGGCACGAAAGCAUGGGUAGCAAACA
rnacentral:rRNA from 1 species